rnacentral:lncRNA from 1 species
AAAAACGAAAUGUUACUAGAACCUUCGAUGAAAAAGCCCUAAAACCCUCUCCUUGUAUCUUCACGAUGGACCCAGAACUCAGCAGCUGAAUCUCACCAAAUCUUCUCGGACACUAACCAACCGCCUUCGCUCUCCUCGUUCUUCUUGUGAGUGUCUCUGUAAUCGAUUACAUAAUUUACAGUUUGUUUUGUGAACUCAAUACUGAAAUAGUAAUGCCUCUUUGAGUAGCCAUAUGAACACGUUUUGUUUCUAUUUCAUAUCUGGCUUAGUUAGGAGGCAGAAAUUAAACUAUGUGAACCCAAAAGAUUGGGUCUUUUGGAACUCACUUAUACCAAGGUCUUUUGAGUGGACUCUUUUGGUAUUUUUCAUCAAUUGUCCUUCAAGCAGCUUUGGACAUUUUCUUUACCCCUUCAAGUCUUCAACUCUAAUUCUUUUCUCGAGAUUUAUGCUAAUUUAUACGCACGUAAAACUUACUUUAUGAAAUGGGACUUUUGUAGUCUUAGAUAGUACUUAAAUGAAUUGCUGACUAGAUUUGUAUAUAUGUAUUCCUUUGGAAGUGUCACUUUUGAGAAUGUAAGUGUUUGUGGAUUGCCAAUUAGAUUGUUCAAUUUUAGAUCAAUUGGUAUUUUUGACAUCCUAAAGUGUAUUGUGAAUUGCUAAUUAAAUUGCCUCAAGAAUUCCUGGCGGAAAAUUCCAUUUGGUUCAGACAUGGGCAGAUAGUAAGAACUAACAAAUGAUGAGAUGAAAGUCUCAGAGUUGUUCUUUCUUGAAUUAGUUUGAGGGAUAGGAACGAUUUCCUUCCCUUUCGUAUAGGUAAUUUCAAACAUUUAUACUAUAUUUUAUGAAUAAAAAUGUAUCAACUCUUUAAUUUUAAUUGCUAGUUUAGCGGCAUUUAGAGAGAAGAUCGAUCAAUGAUGAAAUGAUUGUAGUCGAUCAUCUGACCAAGGGGGGCUUUUUGCCACUGACCUCUCUUUUGUCAAGAUCUGAUACAUUCUAAUUCUUGCAAUUUUAAUGGGAGGCAGAUGAUGAUUCAUAUUAUUUGGGCUGAUUACACCAUGAUGCUCCAAAUUCGAGCUUUUUAAAACUGAUGCCACCCCAUUAGCUUUUAUUUUUUCUUUUGCUUUAUAGAAUCAUAUUGCUGAAUAGUAAAGCAAUCGCAGUUGCCAAGUUAAACAUUCUACUAAAAAUUAUUCUUGAACGAUCGUUCUUGUAACUGUAACUGGAGACCAGAAGAUUGUUUACAGUUGUUGAAACUGAGGCAGACCUGUAUUCUCCAACUAGGUUUGUCUAUGUUCUUCAAGUUGAAUCUGUCUUUAAACUUUAAGUUGAUCACUACAAUUAUGAUUUAGUCUCAAACAAAACGGAAUGUAAAAAAAGUAUUCUUUUUUAAACUUGUUUGUCAGUGUAUAUGGUCAAAAUCGAGUUUGCCCUUUGUGUGACUAAUCAAGAUUGAUGCAUGAUGGAUCGAGGUUCGUCAUUGUAAUAUCGAGCUAUGAUGUGAAGUUGGGCUGUUGAGUUCGAGCCCUAGAAAUUUAUCAAGGUCGGGAUCAGCCAAGAUCGAUAUCGAGCCAGAUAGAGGUCGAGCAAAUAGUGACCGAUCGAGACCGAGAUUGAGCCCAGAUUGAGGUCGAGCGAAUAGAGGGCGAUCACGAUUGAGAGCGCCGAGUUCGGGCUCGAGCCAAGGGACAAAAGAGCCGUUAUAGUAGCCGCAUUUGGGGAAAGAAUCUUGACGGAAAUCAAGGAAAAACAAUUAAUUAAUAUAUCAUGGAAUUCUAACUAUGUUUUUAAUUAUAUCUAAAGUAUGAUUUCUCUAAUAUAUUAAGAGUAGGUUAUCAUUGAUUUAGGAGACUGGAUUCAUUCAUAUAUUCAUACACACUCAUAUUCAAAAAUUAUUGAGAUUUGUAACAUCUAGCAAAUAUUAUCCUUUUUGGGAUUUUUGAUAUUGAUAUCUUUUUUAUUUAUAAAUCAUUCUCUAUUCAAUUUGGGUUUGUAUUCAUUCCUUUUUACGGUCAAUAUUUGAUUUAUCUCUACUUACUUUUCCGAUUUGUA